rnacentral:rRNA from 1 species
UACGUAGGGGGCAAGCGUUGUCCGGAUUUACUGGGCGUAAAGAGCGUGUAGGCGGCCAAGCAGGUCCGUUGUGAAAACUGGAGGCUUAACCUCCAGACGUCGACGGAAACCGCGUGGCUAGAGUCCGGAAGAGGAGAGUGGAAUUCCUGGUGUAGCGGUGAAAUGCGCAGAUAUCAGGAAGAACACCAAUGGCGAAGGCAGCUCUCUGGGACGGUACUGACGUUGAGACGCGAAAGCGUGGGGAGCGAACAGG